rnacentral:tRNA from 1 species
AGAAACUUAGGUUAACCCA